CAAAAUUCCAAAACAUAAAAUAGAAGCAAUAUUGUAACAAAUUCAAUAAAAACUUUUUUAAAAGUAACAAAGUUGAGGCAGAGGAAGAAGUUAUACCAAGGCACCAGGAGAGUUAACAGCAAAGAAACUGGCAAAGACAUUUACUACUGUGAGCAGGGGCAUAUGGAUAUUAGAAGAAAUGGAUGUCAAUUACAAGAGGUUCUCAAGAGCUCACAAGCAGAUACAGGAUGCUCUUAUUUGCUGUAGGGAAAUUCAUGAUGAAAAGAAGAAACAAACUGUACAAUCAAAGCUUGAAACCUUCCUAAAGAAUACUGUGCCUAAUUAACCAUCAGCAAGUGUAGAUGCCCCAGUGCUUCCUACCAGCUAUUCUCAAGCCUCAUCGAGAGACAAUUGAUGACCUUGUCACUGUAGCAUCAAUAUCAUCCAGCAAUUGAUUUUAGUUCAAUGUUUCAAACAUUCUUCAGGCCUGCUGCACUUUCAGCUGUCUGCUUUGAUGGGUCUUAGUUCCAGAACCAAGGAUUGAACCUGUGCCCCCUGCAGUGGAAGCACAGAUUCUUAAACGCUGAACCACUGGGAAAUUCCCAGAUGUUUGUUUUUCAAAACCUACAAAGACCAGGGGGAAGCAUGAAUGCAGCUCCUCCCUACUACAAAUUAUGCAGCCAAGUUCCCCACAUUUGGGGAAAUUGCAGGAAUGCAACACCUGGAAUGCAAUGGAUGAGCCUUGCCCUGGGAAAACCACCUUCGUGAUCAUGUUAUCUCCCCUGCUGGGUGGAUUCUUUACCGGUUGAGUGACCAGGGCAGCCCAAG